rnacentral:misc_RNA from 1 species
UAAAAUUUGAAAUAAUUUAAAAUAAAUUUAAGUAUCGUAAAUAUUAAUUAAAUUUGAGUCAGAAUAAAUAAUCACCGCUAUGGUUGGUGAUUGGACGAGUUCAUGGCAGUGGUCAACCCUAUUCAAUUAGUAAAUCCUAAUCCGACAACGAGAUUUUUAAUAUAAAAGCCAAAACCACCAUCCAACAAGGUUCUGUUCUAAAAUAGACAUUUGUUCCACAAUUAUAAGGAGUUUGGUCCAAAGUGGCGUCUCUUAUGUUUGAAUUUUAUUAUAUGGGUUCAAAUUCAAUGGCACUAAUUCUCUCAGAAAAAGUUAAAAAAUAAAUGGCAAUGCUUUAUUGAAAAAUAGCUAAUUGACUCAUGGUUCAAGUUCCCUUUACUUUAAUUUCAAAACGAGCCCAGAUUCAACUUCUCUCCAUAUUUGCCAAUUUUGAAAGCAAUGGCAGAUUGUUAGCUAGAUAGAUAGGAUUAUCAAUUUAAUUUUUUUUUCUUUUUAAAUAACCCUAUAAAGGAGGACAUUUUAAUUUGUGAGAGUGAGACAAAGACUUUUAAUACCAUAUAGAAUAGGGCUUCCCCUAGCUAUAGUUUUAGACCCAUUGAAAAUAUUAUGGCACAGAAAGCAAUAUCCACUCAAUGUGAGUGGUACCGGUAGCUAGGGAUGUUCAUAUUAUUCUUUACCAUCAACAUGCAAAUGCAAGCAUCAAUUUCACCCUAUCAAAUCACCAAUAUAAAUAGAACUUAAUAAUCAUGAUGUUUCAAGGUCCCCUCCCCUCCUCUCUCGACUAAAGAUACUUCGAUGGAAAGAGAUUGCUCAAAUCUUUAUUUUAACACUCUUAUCAUAUACUCUAUGAAUAUAAUAUAUUAUCUUGAUGCUUAAUAAAUAUAAUAACGUAAAGUUUGUAAAAUAAAAUAUUUAUAGGUUGUUCGAUAUCAAUAUAAGGGUUAACUUUAAUGUUACGUAGAAAAAAUAAAUUGAAUUUAACUUAACUUUAAAUGUUAUUUAAAGAGAAAAAUUUUGCUAAG